rnacentral:rRNA from 1 species
GACGAACGCUGGCGGCGUGCUUAACACAUGCAAGUCGAACGGUAAGGCUCCAGCUUGCUGGGGUGCACGAGUGGCGAACGGGUGAGUAACACGUGGGUAACCUGCCCUGCACUUCGGGAUAAGCCUGGGAAACUGGGGCUAAUACCGGAUAGGAGCACACCGUGAGGGAGAGUUGGAAAGUUUCUUCGGUGUGGGUUGUGCCAGCGGGAUAUGCGCUUGUAGGGGGGGUAAUGGCCUCGCCGGGCGGCGACGGGGAGCCGGCCUGGGAGGGUGGACGGCCACAUUGGGCUUGAGACACGGCCCAGACGCCUACGGGAGGCAUCGGCGGGAAACAUUGCAAAAUGGGCCGAAGCCUGAUGCAGCGACGCCGCGUGGUGGAUGACGGCCGUCGGGUUGUAAACUCCUUUCGCCAUCGACGAACGGUCUCUGACGGUAGCUGGAGAAGAAGCACCGGCUAACUACGUG